AUACUAAAGAAGUCUCAUGAGAUCUGAUGGUUUUAAAGAUAGGAGUUUUCCCGCACAAGCUCUCUCUUUUUGCCUGUUGCCAUCCAUGUCAGAUGUAACUCGUUCCUCCUUGUCUUCCACCAUGAUUGUGAGGCCUCUCCAGCCACAUGGAACUCCUCACGUAGGAGAUACUACCAGCAUGUCUACUUUACAAAUGGGGAAACUGAGUCCCAAAAAGGUGAAUUUCUUCAUUCGCCAUCAUGAAGAUAGGAACUGAAUAACCUGGACCUGAGCCCAGAAUCCAUUCACAACAAUGCCUCUGAAUUCAUCCCCGUCUCUCCUUCAAGAAUAAGAAGAGGCCAGCUGACAUCCUCAAAAAUGCGGUCAUGUUGAAGGUCAUUAACUGAAACACAAUCUAGGACCUAUAAGCCUAAGUCUGCCAAGCCAGUUCCAGUGCAAUUUCCCUAAGAAACAAAACAAAGAUGAAUAGAGACAGAAUAAAGCACUGAAUAAAUGCAGAGAGUGGGCUUUGAAUAAUGAACAAGACUGUUUCAUUCCUGAUCUGUUACAGUGACAGUUACCUGGUAAUUACCUACUUUGAAAUAAUCAUAUCAUGUCCUCACCCUGCUUAGGGAUCAAAUCUAUAAUACUCUAGAGACACUCUACCUCAGGAAGAGGAAAACAACUUACUUUCUUUUUUGUUUUCUUUCUUUGAGAGGGCUCUCCUGUCACCCAGACAGAAGUAGGGUGGCACAAACAUAGCCUCCUGUACCCUCUACCCCUUGGGCUCAAGCAAUCCUCCAGCCUCAGCCUCCCGAGUGGCUACGAUUACAGGUGCAUGCCACCAUAAAAAGUGCAUGCCACUUUUUAACUUUUUGUAGAGUCGGGGUCUCACUAUGUUCCCCCAGGCUCAUCUCAAACUCCUGAGCUCAAGUGAUCCUCCUGCCUCCACCUCCCAAGUUGCUGGGCUUGCAGGAGUGAGCCACUGAGCCUGCUCAUAGUACAACCUUUCUUCAUGCCAUGCUGACGUCAUAAGUGGAGUUGGCCCCUGCAAUACUCUCAAGCAGGCAAGGAUGGAUUUUGGUGCCGUGUCCCACUCUCUCUUCUGGUGUUCUCCACUCCCACUCCCAUCCCCACACCCACCCUCAUCAUGCUGUUGAAGUAACAAAUCCCUGAAGGUAGAAUGACAGGCAAUGGAGUCAACAUGACCUAGUUCCUGCCCAAGCCCCUCAGAGUCACCUCUUAGAAACAGCCGCCUACCAGGCAGAUCACAAGGUUAAGAGAUUGAGACCAUCCUGUCAACAUGGUGAGACCCCAUCUUUACUAAAAAUACAAAAGUUAGCUGGGAGUGGUGGUGCAUGCCUGUAGUCCCAGCUAGUUGGGAGGCUGAGGCAGAAGAAUUGCUUGAACCUGGGAGGCGGAGGUUGCAGUGAGCCGAGAUUGUGCCACUGCACUCCAGACUGGUGACAGAGUGAGACUCCAUCUCUAAAUACAUAAAUAAAAAGAAACAGCUGCCUAACCAAUUUGCCCAUGAGAUAACUCAAUUCCUUCCGUGUUAUCUGUAGACCCAGGCUAAGCCUGCUAAGUCUUCCAGCCUUUGGAGAUCACAAACACAUUUGCCAAGUCAGGCUUCAGUGUCCAAGUUCACAGGGUUUUUCCCACACCCACCUGAAUAGGUACAGUGGCCAAAGAAGCCGGUGAGGACAGAUCCAGCUGUAGUUGAGGAGACAGGCACGAGGACUCGGUAUCUCUGCCUUGCGUGAUCCUGAUCGGAGCCAAGAGAAGCCAGGGAAACCAUUCCAGUUCUGAUAAGGGAAGAGGCAAUGGAGAUCCAGGAGAGAUGCCUCUGUCUUAGUUAAACAGUUCAGUGAUGGAGCUGUCGAGAGCUAACAAGUGCGAUAAGCACCAGUCAUAGGAAAUACUCCCUGGCAUGAUAAGGACAACCAGCUAACAUGUGUGUAUGCUCUGACCCCACGCCAGGCAUUGUUCUGAACUCCUUACACAGACUCUCUCCGUCACUAUCCUGACUCCAGUGCUUUGAGGCUGGUGCCAUUAUCACCAUUUUACAGAUGUGGAAACUGAAGCGUAGAAAGGGUAAGCAACUUUUACCAAGCUUAUAUAGCAAGGGAGGGAGACAGAACACAACGCC
ensembl:lncRNA